UACGUAGGGUGCAAGCGUUAAUCGGAAUUACUGGGCGUAAAGCGUGCGCAGGCGGUUGUGCAAGACCGAUGUGAAAUCCCCGGGCUUAACCUGGGAACUGCAUUUGUGACUGCAUGGCUAGAGUUGGCAGAGGGGGUAGAAUUCCACGUGUAGCAGUGAAAUGCGUAGAUAUGUGGAGGAACACCGAUGGCGAAGGCAGCCCCCUGGGUCAAGACUGACGCUCAUGCACGAAAGCGUGGGGAGCAACAGG
rnacentral:rRNA from 1 species